UUGUUUUUUUUUUUACCAUUCUUCACCUUACAGAGCAAGCUUUACGAAGCCAGCAGCAUGUCGGUAGCUUUUGCAAAAUCAUCUGGAGUUCUUACAAUUUCUCAAACGAAUAUUCUUGAAGAGUCAGUAAUGGACUAAGAAAAACUGUCACACGAGCUACAUAAGGUUUUAUGGAGGACAGGAUUUUCCUGAUGACAUGAGAUAAGAGUGGAAACAGAAGGAGAAGCGAGAGAGAGACAUUAAGAAAGAUGAAAAGUUUGUAAGCUGUUUGUUCUAACCCAGCUGCGAAUGAAGAAGUGGAAAGACGAUACUUUGAAAAGGAAAUUUGCCUGUUGCUAACAAGCUAAUCACCGUCAUAGAUUAGCAACACAUAGCUAAUCAAGUCACCUUCUGAUGUUAGCAACACUAGCUCGUCAUUUUUGAAGAUUAAUACCGUCGGCUAAUAACAGCCCACUGAGAUUAGCAACACCAGCUGAUCAUCUUUGGAGAUUAGCAACACUAACAAUAUCAGCAAAUAAUUCACAGAAAUUAGCAACACUAAAAAAUUAAUUCUGGGAGAUUAGCAAUGCGAAUUCACAGUACAAGCAGAUUAGCCAUGCUCACUAAUCACCCUAAAAAAUUAGUCACAUCAGCUAAUAGUCCUCAGAGAUUAGCAACACAAAUUGAUCAUCUUUGAACAUUAGCAACAGUAGUUAAUCACUCACAGAGAUCGGUAACACCAGCUAAUCAUCUUCAAAGACUAACAGCACCAGCUAAUCACCUUCACAGAUUAGCAACACCAGCUAAUCAUCUUCACAGAUUAGCAACAUUGGCUAA